CGGAAAGACCCCGUGAACCUUUACUAUAGCUUGACACUGAACAUUGAGCCUUGAUGUGUAGGAUAGGUGGGAGGCUUUGAAGUGUGGACGCCAGUCUGCAUGGAGCCGGCCUUGAAAUACCACCCUUUAAUGUUUGAUGUUCUAACGUGGACCCGUGAUCCGGGUUGCGGACAGUGUCUGGUGGGUAGUUUGACUGGGGCGGUCUCCUCCUAAAGAGUAACGGAGGAGCACGAAGGUUGGCUAAUCCUGGUCGGACAUCAGGAGGUUAGUGCAAUGGCAUAAGCCAGCUUGACUGCGAGCGUGACGGCGCGAGCAGGUGCGAAAGCAGGUCAUAGUGAUCCGGUGGUUCUGAAUGGAAGGGCCAUCGCUCAACGGAUAAAAGGUACUCCGGGGAUAACAGGCUGAUACCGCCCAAGAGUUCAUAUCGACGGCGGUGUUUGGCACCUCGAUGUCGGCUCAUCACAUCCUGGGGCUGAAGUAGGUCCCAAGGGUAUGGCUGUUCGCCAUUUAAAGUGGUACGCGAGCUGGGUUUAGAACGUCGUGAGACAGUUCGGUCCCUAUCUGCCGUGGGCGCUGGAGAACUGAGGGGGGCUGCUCCUAGUACGAGAGGACCGGAGUGGACGCAUCACUGGUGUUCGGGUUGUCAUGCCAAUGGCACUGCCCGGUAGCUAAAUGCGGAAGAGAUAAGUGCUGAAAGCAUCUAAGCACGAAACUUGCCCCGAGAUGAGUUCUCCCUGACCCUUUAAGGGUCCUGAAGGAACGUUGA
rnacentral:rRNA from 1 species